rnacentral:rRNA from 1 species
GACGAACGCUGGCGGCGUGCUUAACACAUGCAAGUCGAACGGAAAGGCCCUGCUUUUGUGGGGUGCUCGAGUGGCGAACGGGUGAGUAACACGUGAGUAACCUGCCCUUGACUUUGGGAUAACUUCAGGAAACUGGGGCUAAUACCGGAUAGGAGCUCCUGCUGCAUGGUGGGGGUUGGAAAGUUUCGGCGGUUGGGGAUGGACUCGCGGCUUAUCAGCUUGUUGGUGGGGUAGUGGCUUACCAAGGGUUUGACGGGUAGCCGGCCUGAGAGGGUGACCGGCCUCAUUGGGACUGAGAUACGGCCCAGACUCCUGCGGGAGGCAACAGUGGGGAAUAUUGCACAAUGGGCGAAAGCCUGGUGCAGCAACGCCGCGUGCGGGAUGACGGCCUUCGGGUUGUAAACCGCUUUCGCCUGUAACGAAGCGUGAGUGACGGUAAUGGGUAAAGAAGCACCGGCUAACUACGUG